rnacentral:lncRNA from 1 species
AGGACUACACAUUCCCACAGUUGUUUGACCAUACUCUAUAAAUAACCAAAGCCCCGAGGACUCAGAUAGGCAAUCCAUCUCAGUAAAUCACUUGUUGCUUUUAUUAUUCACUGAUUCCUGACUUGAGUGUCGGAGGAUUCUCGUCGAAGUAAAAAUCUUCAGUCUAGAUUUUAUUUUACAGGUCACUCCAAUACCACUGCUC